rnacentral:rRNA from 1 species
ACGGAAGGCAGCAGUGGGGAAUAUUGGGCAAUGGGCGCAAGCCUGACCCAGCGACGCCGCGUGAGGGAAGAAGGUCUUCGGAUUGUAAACCUCUUUCAGCAGGGAAGACCAAGAGACGGUACCUGCAGAAGAAGUCACGGCUAACUACGUGCCAGCAGCCGCGGUAAUACGUAGGUGGCGAGCGUUAUCCGGAAUUACUGGGUGUAAAGGGCGUGUAGGCGGAGAAGCAAGUCAGGCGUGAAACUUAUGGGCUCAACCCAUAAACUGCGCUUGAAACUGUUUCCCUUGAGAGUGGGAGAGGUUAACGGAAUUCCUGGUGUAGUAGUGAAAUGCGUAGAUAUCAGGAGGAACACCGGUGGCGAAGGCGGUUAACUGGACCACAACUGACGCUGAGACACGAAAGCGUGGGGAGCAAACAGGAUUAGAUACCCUGGUA